UGGAGGUGAAGAACCAGUCUAGCUCAGGUGAACUUAAUCUGCCAGAGUAAUGCACAGAGUUCAUCGGGAAGCCACACCAGAAGCAGGUUCUCAAUACACACUUUGUAAUUUAGUGCUAGGUGCUCUUGGUCACAUGUGGAACCCAGUCGGGGAAUCAGUGGCUGAUCACAGAGGAGAAAUUGUGGCAGCUAUGGCAACAGAGGCUGUUCUCCCAAACUGUGGUCAGCUGACGUGAGGGAAGUGAGGCUACCGCAAAGAUGCCUGUUCUGCUAUCCUCAGAACCUACAAAGUUCUCUUCCUCUGCCGGAAGAUAGAGGGUAUUGAGUCUCUUUCCAGAUGCAGAGAAAGCCUGGACCGAAGGAAAGGCAAUCAUUGUCAGGAGUUACCAGGAAUUUGGGCUGGGGUGCAAAAUCCCAGUUUGGCCAGUCACACUUUCAACAGAAGAGCUAAAAUUUGCGCAUCUAAUUGGUGAGUGGCUGCAGAGAUGGGUUCGGUUGUUAAGAGCGCUCAAGGUUCUUCUGGAAGACUGGAGUUGGAGUUACAGCAUCCACAUCCGGUGGUUCACAGCCACCUGCAACUAUAAUUCCAGGGGAUCUAAGGCCUUCUCCUGGCCUCUGAGAGCACUUGCAAGCAUAGGGAGCGUGUGCAAGCACGUGCGAACACACACUUCUUAAGCUUGUAAUAAUUGUUGGUAGGGCCCUCAACCAGUUUGAGUCCCCUGAAAAGCUUCUCACCUUCUCACUCUCUUGAAUCUUAUCUGGCAAAUUAGUUGUACAAAUCUACAGGACAGAAAGCAAGACAGGCCUCUGCCUCAUUUACCCCAAUUCGUCCACGGAAAGGCCGAAAGAACUGCCUCCUGGAUUAAAACGGUCAGGCAUCCAGGUGCAAGCUGGGAGUCCCCUCGAGCCGCUUUUCAAUCCCAUCUUCCAGUGGGCUGACUCCUGAAACAGGGUGAAUGGCAACACCUCAAGACUGUCAGCUCGUGCUUGCAGAGUCUCGUUGGCGGAUGCAAUGCUGCAGAAGCAGCCAGAAAUUGUAGCAGCUCACAUU